UACGUAUGGUGCAAGCGUUAUCCGGAGUUACUGGGUGUAAAGGGAGCGUAGGCGGCGCGUUAAGUCUGAUGUGAAAACCCGAGGCUCAACCACGGGAGUGCAUUGGAAACUGGCGGGCUGGAGUGCCGGAGAGGUAAGCGGAAUUCCUAGUGUAGCGGUGAAAUGCAUAGAUAUUAGGAGGAACACCAGUGGCGAAGGCGGCUUACUGGACGGCAACUGACGCUGAGGCUCGAAAGCGUGGGGAGCAAACAGG
rnacentral:rRNA from 1 species